AUUGAACGCUGGCGGCAUGCUUUACACAUGCAAGUCGAACGGCAGCACGGGCUUCGGCCUGGUGGCGAGUGGCGAACGGGUGAGUAAUGCAUCGGAACGUGCCCAUGUUGUGGGGGAUAACUACGCGAAAGCGUGGCUAAUACCGCAUACGCCCUGAGGGGGAAAGCGGGGGAUUCUUCGGAACCUCGCGCAAUUGGAGCGGCCGAUGUCAGAUUAGCUUGUUGGUGAGGUAAAGGCUCACCAAGGCGACGAUCUGUAGCGGGUCUGAGAGGAUGAUCCGCCACACUGGGACUGAGACACGGCCCAGACUCCUACGGGAGGCAGCAGUGGGGAAUUUUGGACAAUGGGGGCAACCCUGAUCCAGCCAUGCCGCGUGAGUGAAGAAGGCCUUCGGGUUGUAAAGCUCUUUCAGCCGGGAAGAAAACGCACGCUCUAACAUAGCGUGUGGAUGACGGUACCGGACCAAGAAGCACCGGCUAACUACGUG
rnacentral:rRNA from 1 species